AUUGAACGCUGGCGGCAGGCUUAACACAUGCAAGUCGAACGAGUGGCGGACGGGGGAGUAAUGCUUGGGAAUCUGGCUUAUGGAGGGGGCUAACGACGGGAAACUGUCGCUAAUACCGCGUACAAUAGGAUGAGCCCAAGUGGGAUUAGGGAGUUGGUGGGGUAAAGGCCUAACAAGCCGACGCUCUCUAUCUGGUCUGAGCGGAUGACCAGCCACAUGGGAGUCUGGACACGGCCCGGACUCCUGCGGGAGGCAGCAUUGGGGAAUAUUGCGCAAGGGGGGAAACCUGACGCAGCAAUGCCUCGUGAAUGAUGAAGGCCUUCGGGUUGUAAAGGUCUUGCGGUGACGAGGCGUUAAUCACAGAAGAAGCACCGGCUAACGCCGUGCCAGCAGCCGCGGUAAUUC
rnacentral:rRNA from 1 species